GGAGCAGUGGAAUUCUGAAAGAUCGGAGUUUUGAGUUCAUUCAAACUCACCAUAACAUCUACUAUUUCAUCAGUGUUUGUAAUGACAACGAGAUCUACUUCAGCUAUUCAGUUCAAGACGGAGCUAUUUCAAAGUGGGUAUUGAACUGGAGAGGGGGAUUUUUUGACACUUACGGAACUCUAUUCGUGAAGGAAGACAUGUGUGAUCGUUAUGGCAAAUAUCCAGGGUGUGCAGUGCAAGAGCCACCCACUUGCAGGACUAGAGACUUCCAAUUCAUGAAGCAAUCGGUUCUCAAUUCAGGAUAUCCAUCAUUAAUGAACAUAGAUACGAGCUUGGGCCUUAGUGAUUGUCAGGCUAUAUGCAGGAACAAUUGUUCUUGUACUGCUUGUAAUACUGUAUUCACCAAUGGAACUGGAUGUCAGUUUUGGAGGGAUGAAUUGCCACGAGCCCAAGUGGGUGAUGCAAAUCAGGAGGAGCUCUACGUUUUGUCCUCAUCAGAAGACAUAGGUAAGAGGCUCUAUGUAUUGCAUUCCGAGAAGUAGCCAAAACAAAGUACUUGGUAAAUCUCACAUCUUCAUCGAAUUUACAAUCCUACAAAAAAAGUCCUACUGUAUAAUCGUCUACCAUUAGAGGACCUAUAGCAAAACCAUUAAAGACCCUCUCUCUCUCUCUCUCUCUCUCUCUCGUUCUGCUCUAACAAUAAAAUUUAUUAACUUCUACCUAUGCAGGGAAGCCUUGGUGGAUAUGGAUUAUCAUUCUCGUUGUAGUAGUAUUUCUGUUCAUGUUAGCUGUCUUUUGUUGUUCACAGAGAAACUCCAGAGGUAGUAUUUUAACUUUUGUAGAUAAUAGCAAUGCCAUUUGUUAAUGGGUUGGAUAAUUGGACUUGUGGCUUCUGGUAUAACAGGGAGAGUAAGGAGAGAAGUUCAGUUACAUGAAGUUGGGCCUUCUGGUACAACAGGGGAUAGAGAGGGGAAGAAAGGUCAGCCACGUGAUGUUGUGGUUCCUGGUGGUAAAACAGCGGAUAAAAAAAAGAAGAAAGUUACGUUCCUGUUGCGUACAGACGAGUGACGAGAGGCCUGAAAUCUCAGAUGUUUGCUCCAUGCUUAACAGCAAAACUGGGGACCUACCCAACCCAAAUCCACCCCCAUUUUGCACUUAAGGCGAGCCAGGGAGUUGUUCUGCUCUGCUACUUGAGAGAUGGAAGGCGGGUCAAGAUGAGAUGAGAAUUUGAUUCCCUCGUUGUAAGCUUUUCUUUAUUUACGUUUUGUUAAUUUAUAAUAAGAUGACAACUGAACUGAAGCUAGUUUUGUGAUCAUUUGGAACAUAUUUGUACCCAUGUAUUCUGGAGCUCUAUUUGCCCUUUUGCUCUCCAAAACAUCUUAUGAUAUACGUCUAUCUAUAUCCAUCUCAGCCAAAGUAGGCCAUAUAUAUGUUCUAUAAUUCAUUAUUUGCCAUUGAAUAGAUGAUCAAAACACAAGGUGGCAACAGUGUGCAUGUGAUUUAUGUCUUACAGUCAAGAGGAAAUCUACUCACAGUAAAAUUAUUCAAACAUUACUUAACAUCAACUAAGCAGACUAAAACAUAGAAACAUGAUUUAUAACAUUUGUCACCCGUCACAGAAAGAUAAAUGUCUUCAUGAGGAUGCAUAAUAUAAAUAGCUUGAAGGUUGCUUCCCAAACUUUUAAUACCAGAGCAUGCAUCUAAGCAACAAGCAGAAAACAUCAUCCUAGCCACUCAACAGGCCAGAUUAUCAAUGAAAUCUGAAACUGAGAACCUCGUAGGUAUAACAUCCUUCAACCAGUUAUACUAGGACCUCAAAACCCUUUAUGCAAAUCAAAAGGUUUCAGUUGAUUAUACAUUAUUUUCCUAAACUUCAAUACAUGGGAUAUUCAAAUUAUUAUUUAUGCUAAGGUCUAGUUGUCCAUUUUUGGACAGAUAUGUUCAUAUACAGAGAGAAAGAAAGGGAAAUAAAAACGAAGCCUGUUGAACGUCCUUCCACCCGGUCACCUUAUACAAAGAAGAAACUUGGAUUCAAACAAGUCUUUUGAGUUACAACUUAUACGCAAUGAUCCAAAGUGAUUUUCUGAUUUAUUUUAUUUUAUUUUACUAACAUUACUAUAGAAGGAAAAGUUUUAAUUUUACAUCCAUUCAAUCUUACCAAAUAAAUUUUUAUUUUCAAAUUUACUAAUAAUGGAAAAGAAUUGAUUUAGUAUUUAUCAACUUUACAAUUAAUUUGUAAAACAAAUUAUGUCAUUAUCAAUAUGAAUUUAUAAAAGAUUAAUGUAUCAAAUACAAAUAAAAUGAAUAAAUAAAAUUUCAAUUCAGUAUUUAAUAAUUUACAAUUAAAAUUCAAAUUCCUCUCUCAUUUUGUAAAUUGAACUAUAAAUGUAGAUUGACAAGUUAAAAAAUAAAAAUAAAAAUUAAAUAAACAAAUAGAAGUAAAAUAAAAGUAAAAACAGAAAUAAAUAAACAUAUUUGGGCUAAGAGUGAGUGGACCUACUCUCUAUCCGAGGAAAUAUAAAUGGGCUUAAAAUUGGCUCAAAGUGAAUGUUGAAGAAUGAAUGUGCCUAUGAUGUCCUUAGUUAGGAUAAAUUUGGGUUCCAUAGAGUAUGUUUGCUUCCCCAAAGUUUGGGGGAAAAUGCAAGGCCAAAAAAAUAAAGAAGAAAAAUGAGAGAAAAUAAAAUAAAAUGAAAAUAAUUUUAAAAUUAAUAAAUUAUUUUUAUAUCUUAUUUCAAAUUCAAUUUAUUUAUAUGUAUUUUAUAUAAAGAUUAAAUAAUUUAAAAAUAUGGAAAUUUCUUACUAAUUUUUAUUACAUUUGACUUUUUUUUUUAUUAUUAACCAAACAUAAAAAAAUAAAAAAAAUAAAAAAUUACAUUUUUAAUAUUAUUUUUUUUUCUUAGUGUUUUUUGAACCACACAUAGUUUUAGUAUAAUGCAUAUAUUCUUACAUAAACAGUUGUCUUAUUUUAAAAUUUUUAUACGAGGUGUCAAUGUAAAAAUUUUUAAUGGCAAUACCUUUUACCAAGUUGAGCUGCAAGACCCAACAUUGGAGGGGGAGCAUUCUGAUUGUGAGGGGGUUACCUUACCGAGGUCGGCAUUGUAAGAUUCAGUACACUUGACGGGACACCAUUGCCAACACCAAAGGUCCACCCUUCGGUGAUGCUCAAUUUUUAGCAACCUCAAGUAAGUAAAUCCUAAAUCAUGCCCUCAUCCUUUGGUAGUUUCUCCUCUUAUUUGCGAAUGGGGUCAGGGGUUGGGUUUUUUCUUCUUUAUCUUGUCAUGUGUCUGUUUGGGAGGGCCUUGCUCUUGUAGUGCACAAAGAGACAGCAUCAAACCUGGGGAAAGGAUUCAAUUCACGAAGCUACUGGUUUCGGCACAAAGGACUUUCACACUGGGGUUCUUUAGCUUGGACACCCGCAGUUAUUUAGGAAUCUGGUACACAAGUGAUGUUGACAACAAGAAAGUUUGGGUUGCUAACAGAGACAACCCUAUAUCUGGCACCAAUGCAAAUCUCAUGCUGGAUGGCAAUGGCACAUUGAUGAUCAUUCAUAGUGGGGGUGAUCCAAUUGUCUUGAAUUCCAAUCAAGCAUCCGGAAACUCCAUAGCUACCUUGCUUGAUUCUGGAAAUUUUGUUGUGUCAGCGUUAAAUUCAGAUGGAUCUGCGAAGCAGACACUAUGGGAAAGUUUCGAUGAUCCUACAGACACGCUCCUGCCUGGGAUGAAACUAGGCAUCAACUUGAAAACCAGGCAAAACUGGUCACUUGCUUCGUGGAUAAACGAACAAGUGCCUGAUCCUGGGACUUUCACUCUAGAAUGGAAUGACACACAAUUGGUAACGAAACGCCGAGAAGACAUCUACUGGAGCAGUGGAAUUCUGAAAGAUCAGAGUUUUGAGUUCUUUCAAACUCACCAUAACAUCCACUUUUUCAUCAGUGUUUGUAAUGACAACGAGACCUACUUCAGCUAUUCAGUUCAAGACGGAGCUAUUUCAAAGUGGGUAUUGAACUGGAGAGGGGGAUUUUUUGACACUUACGGAACUCUAUUCGUGAAGGAAGAUAUGUGUGAUCGUUAUGGCAAAUAUCCAGGGUGUGCAGUGCAAGAGCCACCCACUUGCAGGACUAGAGACUUCCAAUUCAUGAAGCAAUCGGUUCUCAAUUCAGGAUAUCCAUCAUUAAUGAACAUAGAUACG
rnacentral:lncRNA from 1 species